rnacentral:rRNA from 1 species
UACGAAGGGGGCUAGCGUUGUUCGGAAUUACUGGGCGUAAAGGGUGCGCAGGCGGCCAGGUGUGUUAGGCGUGAAAGCCUGAGGCUUAACCUCAGAAUUGCACCUAAAACUACAUGGCUAGAGCAUUGGAGAGGGUAGCGGAAUUCACGGUGUAGCAGUGAAAUGCGUAGAUAUCGUGAGGAACACCAGAGGCGAAGGCGGCUACCUGGACCGGUAUUGACGCUGAGGCGCGAAAGCUAGGGUAGCAAACGGG